UCCUGCUGGGUGUGGUUUCAACUAUAAUAGUCUCAGUUCUCACAUCUCUGCUUGUUAUUCAGCUCAUCUUUGGACUGAAAGUUUGCAGCUCUCCAUCGCGUAAAGGUUUAACAGACCAGCUACAACCAUGAUCCAAGUGGUCAUCGACUACGGUCAAAGCUGAAACUCAGCUGGAAUCUACCAGCAGCUAUGCUCCAGACUUGGCACGAUUCCUGGUGUGCAGCUGUCAGUAAGACAGGCCUCAGCGAACCAGUUCAAUGUGUGGGUGAAUAGUAAUCUGAUCUACAGCAAGGCUCAACAAGGUGGAGUAAAUCCUAAUGUUGACCAGGUGAUCAUGGCGGUGCAGGGGUAUUCGGGGGCCUGCAAUACAAAGGGGCAGACAUACCAGGGAGGAUGACGUUAGUGGAACACCAGAAAGCUGGUGCAUCCAACGAGCAAAUGCUCCUAUUCUUAGAAAAAUGUAAUAUGAGCUAAAUUCUUUUAUGAAAUUCACACUCAAAAACUAAAAAAAUUAUACAUUAUUCUAACAUACGAAUUAGAAAGAAAGACAAAGGUAAAAAAUAUAUAUAUAUUUUUGACACAAAUCAAAUUGUUAAGCCAUCGUCAUCAGCCACGAGAAGAUCAGCCCAUACCUUGAGACAGACAAAGACAAAAAGAAGAUGAGAGCAACUCUGAGGAUCCAGUUCCUGACCUGCACUUCUGUUUAUGAAUGUACACACUUAAAAAUGUGGUGUGAUACAUGAUGCAAACCCAGAAGCUUUGCAACAAACUGGAGCCUGAGGAACUGCUCUCACCCUGUCUGUACAUCUCAAACUCUAUAUUUACUCAGGAAUGAAAAAUCUGAAUGCAACUCUUUAUUGAGAUUUUUAAGGAAAUACUCUUCCUCACCAUUUUUUUCUGGCUACUAUUUUGCCAACCUUAGCAUAAAGACUAGAAACACAAAACCAGAUAGCUUUUCUAUAUGUGCAGUUAACAUGGCUCAACAACCCAGAUGUAAGAACACAAAUUUGCUUUUCCAUGGGGUUUAUGAGCGUAUUCACUAGUCCUAGUAAUGAUGCCAAAGAUAAUGAAGCACAGGAUCUGUUGUCAUUUUUAAAAGGUUUUUUGUUCUUUUAUUUGUUUAAACCAAAACAAGAUUAAAGUAUGUGCUGGGAGACAAAUUUUGACACCAUCUGACAAAGCCAGGCUAGCUAUUUCCAGUCUUUGUGCUAUGCUACGCUAAUCUUCUGCUAGCUGAAGCUUCAUCAUUAGGGAACAUAGCCUACAUGAGAUGAGACAUCAUUUUUUCAUUGCACCCCAGACAGGAAAGUGAAUAAGAGUAUUUUUUUUUAAAGUUAACUAUAUGCUUGUAAUGCUUGUGGGGCUUAUUUCCCUUCUGAUUUUUAGAAAAGUAAUGAGUCUUUGAACUUUCAACAUUUUCAAAGCACCUUUAACGCCUGCGUUUAGCUGUGCGUUCCCUGUUCAGGUGACACCAUUCAACUUACAAUUUCUUCUUUCAUAUCAUCGCUUAAAGUCUGAAAUACCUUAUGAAUGAAGACUCAUACUUU